rnacentral:rRNA from 1 species
CUCCUACGGGAGGCAGCAGUGAGGAAUAUUGCGCAAUGGAGGAAACUCUGACGCAGCCAUGCCGCGUGCAGGAAGACGGUCUUAUGGAUUGCAAACUGCUUUUGUAUGCCAAGAAACCUUAGUACGUGUACUAAGCUGACGGUAGCAUACGAAUAAGGAUCGGCUAACUCCGUGCCAGCAGCCGCGGUAAU